rnacentral:rRNA from 1 species
AUUGAACGCUGGCGGCAGGCCUAACACAUGCAAGUCGAGCGAGCGGCGGACGGGUGAGUAAUGUAUGGGAUCUGCCCGAUAGAGGGGGAUAACUACUGGAAACGGUGGCUAAUACCGCAUACUAUCGGCAGAACCCAUAUGGGAUUUGCUAGUAGGUGGGGUAAAGGCUCACCCAGGCGACGAUCCCUAGCUGGUUUGAGAGGAUGAUCAGCCACACUGGGACUGAGACACGGCCCAGACUCCUACGGGAGGCAGCAGUGGGGAAUAUUGCACAAUGGGCGCAAGCCUGAUGCAGCCAUGCCGCGUGUGUGAAGAAGGCCUUCGGGUUGUAAAGCACUUUCAGCGGGGAGGCGUUACCCGCAGAAGAAGCACCGGCUAACUCCGUGCCAGCAGCCGCGGUAAUUC